CAGCUCGUAGCACAGCACCCCCAGGCACCACAGGUCGACCUUCUCGUCGUGGCUGUUGCCCUCCACCAUCUCCGGGGGCAGGUAAUCCAGGGUGCCACAGAGAGUCCGGCGCCUGAGGGGUUAAAACACACCUGGGCACACCUGGGCACACCUGGGCACUCAGAGAACCCCACACCUGACUCAGGUAAUCCCAGGGUGCCGCACAGGGUCCGGCGCCUGAGGGGUUAAAACACACCUGGGCACACCUGGGCACACCUGGGCACUCAGAGCCCCACACCUGGCACAGGUAAUCCCAGGUGAUGCACAGGGUCCUGCGCCUGAGGGGUUAAAACACACCUGGGCACACCUGGGCACACCUGGGCACUCAGAGAACCCAUGGAACCUCACACCUGGCUCAGGUAAUCCCAGGUGAUGCACAGGGUCCGGCGCCUGAGGGGUUAAAACACACCUGGGCACACCUGGGCACACCUGGGUGCUCACAGGACCCCACACCUGGCUCAGGUAAUCCCAGGUGAUGCACAGGCUCUGGCACGUGAAGGGUUAAAAAUGUACCUGGGCAAUCACAGAUUCCCCCAGGUGUCCCCAGGUGUGUCCAGGUGUCCCCAGGUGUGUCCUCAGGUGUCCCCAGGUGUGUCCCCAGGUGUCCCCAGGUGUAUCCAGGUGUCCCCAGGUGUGUCCCCAGGUGUAUCCAGGUGUCCCCAGGUGUGUCCCAGGUGUCUCCAGGUGUCUCCAGGUAUCCCCAGGUGUCCCCAGGUGUCCCCAGAUGUGUCCCCAGGUGUCUCCAG
rnacentral:lncRNA from 1 species